rnacentral:lncRNA from 1 species
CCAAUUAUUAGUUUGAAUAUUGAUGAAAUGUGAUGAUAAAAGGGGUUAAGGGUUUAAUGAUUUUGAGGUUUAAGAUUUUGAUUUUAAGUUUAGGAAUGGUAAUUAGGUUUAAUAUUUAAUGAUUUUAAGGUUUAAGGGUUGAUUUCGAGGUUAGGGACGAUAAUGUAAGUUUAUAAUUAAUUUUUUAAAUAUUUAAAUAUAUACAGGAUGAAGUAAUUUUAGAGUAAUUAUCUAGGUGGUUUAAUUUUAUUUUUAUAUUAGAUAAAUAUAAGUAUUUGUUUAUAAAAAUUGAAAUCAAAUCAAUAAAAUUGUUGGAAAUGUGUGGCUAAAGUUUUUCUCUCAUGACACAUUUUAGCAGGGCUAACGAGAGGCCGAAGAAAAUUUGUCAAAAUCUUUUCCUUUUCUUAGUUUGAUUUUACAAAUUUUCUCAUUGAAUCUCUUGUUUGUUCUUGGAUUUCAUGGAUUUCUUAGUUGUCUUUCCCUUAUUAUUUUUUUCUUGAUUAUGAUGGCUGAUUCAAUAUUAAAAAUCUCAUAUUUAUGAAAUAGAGUUUCCUUCGUUAUGUAUGCAAUGUUCCAAUUCUUUAGAUUCUGUUAUGAAGGCCAUAUCAAAGGGGGAAAAGGUUGGAGUUGAAACUGUGAAAGGCGAGACCGUGGCUGCAUCUUCUUCAGGUUUUCGAACAGGUAACCUUAGAAAUUAGAAGUCUCUUUUUAUUGUUAAUCAACCUCUUCAAUUUUUUCCAUCUAAUUCCAGAAAUUAGCAAAUAUUUUUACAGGGAAGAAAAGGCAAUGUUGAGAUCAAACUUGUUGGCCCAAGUAUCUAUUUUAUUGCUCCUAAUAGAAAAAAAAAAAAAAAAACUCUAGAUUGGAUUCUUGAAUCAGAACAAUGGCAUAUACAACAUACAGCUAUAAUCCUUUGUAAAUGAAAGCCAGAAAUGUACUCUUUACAAUUUGAUUUGGAAGACGACUGUUAUUUAGAUUAAACUUGGAAACUUAUCUUUUGAUCAUAGGAGUAUGGUGGAAAAUAGGCCUUAUAUUAUCGUCGGGGAUUUCAAAGCAAUGUGCAGUCCCCAAAGAUAGUUUAGAUUUUAAUGACUUUAAAACUUUUACAUCAGCC